GAUGAACGCUGGCGGCGUGCCUAAUACAUGCAAGUCGAGCGAACGGACGAGAAGCUUGCUUGUCUGAUGUUAGCGGCGGACGGGUGAGUAACACGUGGAUAACCUCCCUAUAAGACUGGUAUAACUUCGGGAAACCGGAGCUAAUACCGUAUAAUAUUUUGAACCGCAUGGUUCAAAAGUGAAAGACGGUCUUUCUGUCACUUAUAGAUGGAUCCGCGCUGCAUUAGAUAGUUGGUAAGGUAACGGCUUACCAAGGCAACGAUGCAUAGCCGAACUGAGAGGGUGAUAGGCCACACGGGAACUGAGACACGGUCCAGACGACUACGGGAGGCAGCAGUAGGGAAUCUUACGCAAUGGGCGAAAGCAUGACGGAGCAACGCCGCGUGAGUGAUGAAGGUCUUCGGAUCGUAAAACUCUGUUAUUAGGGAAGAACAUAUGUGUAAGUAACUGUGGAGAUCUUGACGGUACUUAAUCAGAAAGCAACGGCUAACUACGUG
rnacentral:rRNA from 1 species